CAGCCGCCAGGUAAAACGAAGGGUGCAAGCGUUACUCGGAAUUACUGGGCGUAAAGCGUGCGUAGGUGGUGGUUUAAGUCCGUUGUGAAAGCCCUGGGCUCAACCUGGGAAUUGCAGUGGAUACUGGGUCACUAGAGUGUGGUAGAGGAUAGUGGAAUUUCCGGUGUAGCAGUGAAAUGCGUAGAGAUCGGAAGGAACAUCUGUGGUGAAGGCGACUAUCUGGGCCAACACUGACACUGAGGCACGAAAGCGUGGGGAGCAAACAGGAUUAGAUACCCCAGUAGUCCCUGUCUCUUAUACA
rnacentral:rRNA from 1 species